rnacentral:hammerhead_ribozyme from 1 species
AGCAGCUGACGAGUCCCACAUAGGACGAAACACGCGCCCUGGAC